CGACCUCAGAGUAGGCGAGAUUACCCGCUGAAUUUAAGCAUAUUAUUAAGCGGAGGAAAAGAAACUAACUAGGAUUUCCUUAGUAGCGGCGAGCGAACAGGAAUGAGCCCAGCACUGAAUCCCGCGGUACCGCCGCUGGGAAAUGUAGUGUUCAGGAGGAUCCGUUUAUCCCGAGACAUCGAAUUGCGUCCAAGUCCAUCUUGAAUGGGGCCAUUUACCCAUAGAGGGUGCCAGGCCCGUAGUGACCGGUACGCGUUUCGGGAGGAUCUCUCCUUAGAGUCGGGUUGCUUGAGAGUGCAGCCCUAAGUGGGUGGUAAACUCCAUCUAAGGCUAAAUACGACCACGAGACCGAUAGCGAACAAGUACCGUGAGGGAAAGUUGAAAAGAACUUUGAAGAGAGAGUUCAAGAGUACGUGAAACCGUUCAGGGGUAAACCUGAGAAACCCAAAAGAUCGAAUGGGGAGAUUCAUCGUCAACCACGCUGGCUCCCGUUGGUGCGCGAUGCCCCGGAUGGACCCUCGGGUUCCAUUAGCGAGGGCACGCCACCUUCGGCGAACGUUCCGGCGAGGUAGUCGUGCACUUCUCCCCUAGUAGAACGUCGCGACCCGUUGCGUGUCGGUCUACGGUCCGAGGCGGAGCCUGUCCGUCGCUUUAACGGCGUUCGUGACAGACCCUCGGUUGCCUGGCCGACUGCGCGACGGUACUCAGACGGUAUCGGGCCGCAACCAAUCCAUUUUCGAAUGUGUGUGCGUCAGGACCGCCGCAAGCUAGGUUCAGUUAUAAUACCCGGAUGUACGGACUAUGCGCCGUCCCCGGGCCUGGCCAGCUGUUAGCAGGAGGAGUCCUUGGACUGGCCAAGCUUUGAAUUACCGGUCGGCGACGCUAUUGCUUUGGGUGUGACGGGUACGAUAGCCCGACCCCCCACCAGACCACCGUAGGCCGCGCGCGACGAGACUUCGCGCCGCGACCGAUAGAGGGCCGCGAGCCGCGAGGCGCUCUCGCAAGGCGACGAAGCCGCCUGACUAAAUAUAAGGCGGCCCGCGGGCCCAAGACAGCGAGUCGGCUCCGUACCGAGAUCGAAAGCGAAAGCGAAGCAUACCGAACCGCACCGUCGCAACCGCCGAUACGAUCGAGCCAGACUCCUGUUUUUGUACUCCCGCUUCCUCCACGGCUCCGGGACGGUUUGGUGAAAUCCGGCCGCCCCGAGAAAGGUCGAUAUCCUCCGCCCGCGGAAGGCCCGUCUGGCCUUCCUGCAUUUCAGGCAACCCAGACCUCCGUUCUGCCCCGGCGGAAGCCACCAGCAGACGGGACACAGGUCCUCUGGCCAGGCCCGAGGGACGGCGAUUGCCACCUAACCGAGGGUACCAUUACUACGGCCGCUACCGCUCCGACGAUACCUCAAUCCCGUCCAGCACCACCCUCGUAACGCUGUUCACGCGACCGCACUUAGCUUGUAAGACCGCGAUCCGUAGUCAUAAGACCCGCGCCGAUAGUAUUAAGAUCCGCCGCGAACCGUAGAUUUAAGCCGCGUUCGAAUAGUUAUAAGAUCCGCGUAGGAUUAAGACCGCGCCGCGUUCACGCGACCAGCUAUACCUGUAAGAAUUCAAGAUUUCCGCCGCAUCGCCUGUAAACCGCUAGUCAGUAAGAUAAUAUUGAAUAAACGACGUUACCACCCAUACCCACAACCGUGUACUCAUUCGAAGGAACCCUGACCACACGACUGAGCCGCCCUGCCUCCCCGGUCCACCGCAGGACCGUCACAUGGGUACUCUCAGGACCCGUCUUGAAACACGGACCAAGGAGUCUAACAUGUGCGCGAGUCAUUGGGAUAUAAAUAAACCUAAAGGCGAAAUGAAAGUGAAUGUCGUCCUCUGUGUCGACCUAGGGAGGAUGGGCCUCGUUACGAUUAGGCCUCGCACUCCCGGGGCGUCUCGUUCUCAUUGCGAGAAGAGGCGCACCUAGAGCGUACACGUUGGGACCCGAAAGAUGGUGAACUAUGCCUGGUCAGGACGAAGUCAGGGGAAACCCUGAUGGAGGUCCGUAGCGAUUCUGACGUGCAAAUCGAUCGUCGGAACUGGGUAUAGGGGCGAAAGACUAAUCGAACCAUCUAGUAGCUGGUUCCCUCCGAAGUUUCCCUCAGGAUAGCUGGCACUCGCUCGAAACGUUAUUGCGAGUCUCAUCUGGUAAAGCGAAUGAUUAGAGGCCUUGGGGCCGAAACGACCUCAACCUAUUCUCAAACUUUAAAUGGGUGAGAUCUCUGGCUUGCUUGCAUCAAAUGAAGCCAUGAGAUUUUAUUAUUGGAUCAGAGUGCCAAGUGGGCCAAUUUUGGUAAGCAGAACUGGCGCUGUGGGAUGAACCAAACGCAGAGUUAAGGCGCCUAAGUCGACGCUUAUGGGAUACCAUGAAAGGCGUUGGUUGCUUAAGACAGCAGGACGGUGGCCAUGGAAGUCGGAAUCCGCUAAGGAGUGUGUAACAACUCACCUGCCGAAGCAACUAGCCC